UACGUAGGGUGCGAGCGUUAAUCGGAAUUACUGGGCGUAAAGCGUGCGCAGGCGGUUAUGUAAGACAGAUGUGAAAUCCCCGGGCUCAACCUGGGACCUGCCUUUGUGACUGCAUAGCUAGAGUACGGUAGAGGGGGAUGGAAUUCCGCGUGUAGCAGUGAAAUGCGUAGAUAUGCGGAGGAACACCGAUGGCGAAGGCAAUCCCCUGGACCUGUACUGACGCUCAUGCACGAAAGCGUGGGGAGCAAACAGG
rnacentral:rRNA from 1 species